rnacentral:rRNA from 1 species
AUACGGAGGGGGUUAGCGUUGUUCGGAAUUACUGGGCGUAAAGCGCACGUAGGCGGACUGGAAAGUUGGGGGUGAAAUCCCGGGGCUCAACCCCGGAACUGCCUCCAAAACCUCCAAUCUAGAGAUCGAGAGAGGUGAGUGGAAUUCCAAGUGUAGAGGUGAAAUUCGUAGAUAUUUGGAGGAACACCAGUGGCGAAGGCGGCUCACUGGCUCGAUCCUGACGCUGAGGUGCGAAAGCGUGGGGAGCAAACAGGAUUAGAUACCCUAGUAGUCC